GACGAACGUUGGCGGCGUGCUUAAUACAUGCAAGUCAACUGAAGCAGUGGUAGCAAUAUCGCUGUGGAGGUGGCGCACGGGUGAGUAACACGUAGGUAAUCUGCCUUCAGGUCUGGCAUAACUCCGGGAAACCGGGGCUAAUAGCAGAUGAUGCAGCGGCUCGACAUCGAGACAGUUGUUAAAGCUAUGGCGCCUGAAGAUGAGCCUGCGUCUGAUUAGCUAGUUGGCGGGGUAACGGCCCACCAAGGCAACGAUCAGUAGCUGGACUGAGAGGAUGAUCAGCCACACUGGAACUGAGACACGGUCCAGACUCCUACGCGAGGCAGCAGCAAGGAAUAUUGCUCAAUGGGAGAAAUCCUGAAGCGGCAACGCCGCGUGAGGGACGAAGGGCUUUUGCUUGUAAACCUCUGUAGUGAGAGAAAAAAAUCCCAAUCUUUGGGACAUGAUGGUAUCUCAAAAGUAAGCCCCGGCUAACUACGUG
rnacentral:rRNA from 1 species